rnacentral:rRNA from 1 species
CAGGAGGACCAUCUCCUAAGGCUAAAUACUACCUGGCGACCGAUAGUGAACCAGUACCGUGAGGGAAAGGUGAAAAGCACCCCUGGCGGGGAGUGAAAUAGAACCUGAAACCGUGUGCCUACAAGCUGUGGGAGCCGUUACCGUCAUCUUAUGAUGAUGGGUGGUGACCGCGUGCCUAUUGAAUAAUGAACCGGCGAGUUAUUCUACUGUCGCCAGGUUAAGCCGUUCAGCGGCGAAGCCGUAGCGAAAGCGAGUCCGAAUAGGGCGACUUAGUGGCAGGGAAUAGACCCGAAACCGAGUGAGCUAUCCAUGAGCAGGUUGAAGCGAGGGUGAAACCUCGUGGAGGACCGAACCAGGGUACGUUGAAAAGUGCUUGGAUGACUUGUGGAUAGGGGUGAAAGGCCAACCAAACUCGGCUAUAGCUGGUUCUCCCCGAAAUAGCUUUAGGGCUAGCCUCGCAUCGACCGUCGCGGAGGUAGAGCACUGAAUGGGCUAAGGGGCGCAAGCUUACUAAACCCAAUCAAACUCCGAAUGCCGCGACGCAAUGUGCGGGAGUUAGGGCGCGGGGGAUAAGCUCCGUGUCCAAAAGGAAAAGAAACCGGACCGCCAGCUAAGGUCCCUAAAUAUAUGCUAAGUGAUAAAGGAUGUGGGAUUGCACAAACAACCAGGAGGUUGGCUUAGAGGCAGCCAUCCCUUGAAAGAGUGCGUAAUAGCUCACUGGUCGAGUGAUCUUGCGCCGAAAAUGAUCGGGACUAAGCAUAUUACCGAAGCUGCGGGUCAGACUGUGCUUGCAUGGUCUGGCGGUAGGGGAGCGUUCUGUAGUAGGAUGAAGGUGUGUUGAAAAGCAUGCUGGACGAGGCAGAAGUGAUUAUGCCGGUAUGAGUAGCGAUAAAACAUGUGAGAACCAUGUUCACCGAAAGCCUAAGGGUUCCUGGGGAAGGUCUGUCCACCCAGGGUUAGUCGGCCCCUAAGGCGAGGCCGAAAGGCGUAGUCGAUGGGAAACGGGUUAAUAUUCCCGUGCCAGACUACACGCGUUAUGAGCUAUGGGGUGACGCAGAAGGAGAGGAGAGCGCGGCGUUGGUGUCCGCGUUUAAGCCCGUAGGGAGUUUUCGUAGGCAAAUCCGCGAAAAUAAUCCUGAGAGGUGAUGACGAGCCAAUACUUCGGUUGCGGCGAAGUCUCCGGUCUCCCAGCUGACGAGAAAUAGCCUCUAUGCCAGUUUGUAGUCUGACCGUACCGCAAACCAACACAGGUAGGCGAGGAGAGUAUCCAAAGGUGCUCGAGAGAACCCACGUUAAGGAACUCGGCAAAAUGACCCCGUAACUUCGGGAGAAGGGGUGCCUCUGAUACGUGUAGCCCAAGGUUAAUAACUUUCGGGUGAAGCGGAAGGAGGCCGCAGAUAAUCGGCCUGGGCGACUGUUUAUCAAAAACACAGGUCUCUGCUAACUCGUAAGAGGAUGUAUAGGGACUGACACCUGCCCGGUGCCGGAAGGUUAAGGGGAGGGGUUAGCUUCUUCGGAAGCGAAGCUCUGAACCGAAGCCCCGGUAAACGGCGGCCGUAACUAUAAAACCCAUUAGGACGGGGAUUGUAGUUGUAAAAUUCGGCUAUAUGCUGGAAACUCUGAGUAUGUUCGACUACUCGCUUCAGAUGUUAUCAUCGAAAGGAAGCAGUGACAAUGUCGAAACGCAGACAAUCAGCAGGAAAGGCCUAAACGAAGGGAGGAAUAUGUUCAACAAAACAAUUAAACCCUCUCUUGGAUAUUAUCUCGCAGGUUUCGCCGAUGGUGAGGGAAGUUUCAAUGUCAGCUUCAGAAAAAGAAGCGACUACGAACUUCCAUGGAAAGUUUCCUUAUGCUUCAAUAUUUCGCAACGAGAAAAGCCGAUUUUGGCUUUGUUUAAAAAACAUCUCGCUUGCGGAACAAUGCGACAAAGAAAAGACGGCGUUUGGUAUUACGAGGUGAAUAACUUCACCGCGAUAAUCCAAAAUGUCAUACCCUUCUUCAAGCGCUUUCACUUCCUGUCCCAAAAGAAAAAAAGAGACUUCUCGAAAUUCAUCCUCAUCGCCGAGAUGAUGCACAAAGAAAAUGCGCAUCUCUCGAAAGAGGGAAUCGAGAGAAUACUCCAAAUUCGCAAGGACAUGAACGACGGCGGCAAAAGGAAAUACACCGAUGACGAAAUUAUGAGAGAGUUCGAGUAGGAAUCCUCAGAGACUAUACGCCGAAUCCCGUGAUUAGCGGGAAUGAUAUAGUCCGUCCUCCAUGGCGACAUGGAGUCUCGUCAAGAUUGACGGGAUGCUACAAAAUAAUGUAGUAUAACGAAGAGAACGGUCCUAAGGUAGCGAAAUUCCUUGUCGGGUAAGCCGAAAACUUGCCCUACUACGUCGUGAGACGUAGCGAAGACCAGCUGAUAACGGGGAAACCCUCCGGCCAUUCGGCCAAGGGCAAUCCCGUGGGAACCCCCAUUGCGGGGGACCCGUAGAGACUGAUCCGAAAGGUGAGACGCGUUUAUUCGCGUAAAACGCUGGCCCUCGUUCCUUAAUG